rnacentral:rRNA from 1 species
GCUGUUUUAGCAGGGAAGAAGCGAGAGUGACGGUACCUGCAGAAAAAGCGCCGGCUAACUACGUGCCAGCAGCCGCGGUAAUACGUAGGGCGCAAGCGUUAUCCGGAAUUAUUGGGCGUAAAGAGCUCGUAGGCGGUUUGUCGCGUCUGCUGUGAAAUCCCGAGGCUCAACCUCGGGCCUGCAGUGGGUACGGGCAGACUAGAGUGCGGUAGGGGAGAUUGGAAUUCCUGGUGUAGCGGUGGAAUGCGCAGAUAUCAGGAGGAACACCGAUGGCGAAGGCAGAUCUCUGGGCCGUAACUGACGCUGAGGAGCGAAAGGGUGGGGAGCAAACAGGCUUAGAUACCCUGGUAGUCCACCCCGUAAACGUUGGGAACUAGUUGUGGGGUCCAUUCCACGGAUUCCGUGACGCAGCUAACGCAUUAAGUUCCCCGCCUGGGGAGUACGGCCGCAAGGCUAAAACUCAAAGGAAUUGACGGGGACCCGCACAAGCGGCGGAGCAUGCGGAUUAAUUCGAUGCAACGCGAAGAACCUUACCAAGGCUUGACAUAUACGAGAACGGGCCAGAAAUGGUCAACUCUUUGGACACUCGUAAACAGGUGGUGCAUGGUUGUCGUCA